CUGCGAAAGGAUCAUUG
rnacentral:rRNA from 1 species